CAGCAGCCGCGGUAAAACAGAGGGUGCAAGCGUUAAUCGGAAUUACUGGGCGUAAAGCGCGCGUAGGUGGUUUGUUAAGUUGGAUGUGAAAUCCCCGGGCUCAACCUGGGAACUGCAUCCAAAACUGGCAAGCUAGAGUAUGGUAGAGGGUGGUGGAAUUUCCUGUGUAGCGGUGAAAUGCGUAGAUAUAGGAAGGAACACCAGUGGCGAAGGCGACCACCUGGACUGAUACUGACACUGAGGUGCGAAAGCGUGGGGAGCAAACAGGAUUAGAUACCCCCGUAGUCCCUGUCUCUUAUAC
rnacentral:rRNA from 1 species